rnacentral:lncRNA from 1 species
GAGUACAACCAGGAAGUAAGUGUUGGAAACUGUGUAUCUUAAAGACUUUGUACUGGCAGUGUGACCUGAGACCAGGACCUGGAACAACCAUAAGGAUGACAGCAUAUGUGGAGUGUAUAAGCCCUUGCUAACAAGAAAACGUUUGCUGAGGUCCUAGUCCACCCAUGAUGGCGACACAGCACAUCAUGGCAGAGGUGCACAAUGGGAGCACAGCUGUCCACCUCACAGCAGUGGGAAACAAAGGAGUAAAGAAAAUGGCCAAGACCUCAGCAUCUCCAUCAAGAGCACACCCUCCCUCCCUUCUUCUCACAGACAGCCAGACGACCUCUCAGAGUGCCCUACCUCUGAAAGGUGUCACCUGGCUCCAACUCUCCCCACCAGGAUGCAGAUGGCAUUGAGGGAAGGAGCUUGGCCUUCCUACUCUACAUAGUGUCACCAAUGUCUAGCAGUCCCCAGGACCAACAUGUGGUUGGCAAUUAUCUAUUAAACAAAAUGAAUUAUUUAACCCAGCAUGGGGGUUUUUGUGAAUUGGCUGUCUCACUGCACUGGUAAUUCUGAUGACCUCUUUGCUUGCGUCCCUCUGUGCAGCUCUCCCAACAGCCGUUUGUUCUGUCACAUCUCAGGCCAAACAGUCCCAACCCUGGGUGGUUUCUGCUACCAGACAGACUCGGCCAGAAGCGUGGACACCUGUGUUCUUGUCACCUCUGUGUGGUUGUGUUCGAUCUGGGCUCCCAGCACCUGCCCUC